GUCUAUGGCCAUAUUGCUUUGAACGUGCCCAGUCUCUUCUAGUCUUGGAAGCCAAGCAGGGUUGGGUCUGGUUAGUAUUCAGAUGGAAGAAUAAGAAAGCAGAAUAUUUGAAUGGGCC
ensembl:rRNA nuclear encoded rRNA 5S 72